AAGGAUCAGUAGAGAACGCCGACGCAAGUCGGUUCUACCCACACACACCCGUGAACCGUGGAGCGGCCGGGGGGACUCGUCCCCCUGGCGUCCGAAACCUGGAGCAGCGAACGCGCCUCUGUUCCCUAAUAGCGCAGGCCUCGCGUCUGGCAGCGAACGGGCCUUGGUGUCUAAUAGCGUCCGCCUUUACAAAACGUCUAGAAAUGUAACGAACGUAGUCUUAUUUUAACAAAUAAACUUUCAACAACGGAUCUCUUGGCUCCCACAUCGAUGAAGAACGCAGCGAAAUGCGAUAAGUAAUGUGAAUUGCAGAAUUCAGUGAAUCAUCGAGUCUUUGAACGCACCUUGCGCCCUCUGGUAUUCCGGAGGGCAUGCCUGUUUGAGUGUCAUGAAACUCUCAACCCCUCGGGUUUUACGACCCGAUCGUGUUGGAUUUGGGCGCUGCCGCUUAGUUGCCGGCUCGCC
rnacentral:misc_RNA from 1 species